UACGGAGGGGGCGAGCGUUAUUCGGAAUUAUUGGGCGUAAAGCGCGCGCAGGUGGUUUCUUAAGUCUGAUGUGAAAGCCCACGGCUCAACCGUGGAGGGUCAUUGGAAACUGGGAGACUUGAGUGCAGAAGAGGAAAGUGGAAUUCCAUGUGUAGCGGUGAAAUGCGUAGAGAUAUGGAGGAACACCAGUGGCGAAGGCGACUUUCUGGUCUGUAACUGACACUGAGGCGCGAAAGCGUGGGGAGCAAACAGG
rnacentral:rRNA from 1 species